AUUGAACGCUGGCGGCAGGCCUAACACAUGCAAGUCGAGCGGUAGCACAGGGAGCUUGCUCCUGGGUGACGAGCGGCGGACGGGUGAGUAAUGUCUGGGAAACUGCCUGAUGGAGGGAGAUAACUACUGGAAACGGUAGCUAAUACCGCAUAACGUCGCAAGACCAAAGAGGGGGACCUUCGGGCCUCUUGCCAUCAGAGGUGCCCAGAUGGGAUUAGCUAGUAGGUGGGGUAACGGCUCACCUAGGCGACGAUCCCUAGCUGGUCUGAGAGGAUGACCAGCCACACUGGAACUGAGACACGGUCCAGACUCCUACGGGAGGCAGCAGUGGGGAAUAUUGCACAAUGGGCGCAAGCCUGAUGCAGCCAUGCCGCGUGUAUGAAGAAGGCCUUCGGGUUGUAAAGUACUUUCAGCGGGGAGGAAGGCGAUAAGGUUAAUAACCUUGUCGAUUGACGUUACCCGCAGAAGAAGCACCGGCUAACUCCGUGCCAGCAGCCGCGGUAA
rnacentral:rRNA from 1 species